rnacentral:lncRNA from 1 species
GAGCAAUCCAAAGAGCAUCAGUCCAAGAAUGGCGAUGACAAUGGCAAAAUAUACAAAAUAUGCGCUUGUUGAGAGGUUUUGCUCCAAAAUAUACAAAAUAUGCGCUUGUUGAGAGGUUUUGCUCCAAAAUACACAAAAUAUCAGGGACACAUAUAGUUCAGAUUACACAUUUCAAGGAUGAUCCAGAUAUAAUGCUUACCUUAGAUUCUUCAGUCCCCACCAGAAGUAGCAGCAGUACUACUGAAGGAACGGUGAAGAUGUGACGCUAGUAGAGAACAUAUAUCGACACAUUAGUUUAUCAUCACAAGUUUGCACCAUUCUCAGCUUUUGGUAGCUUGGUGGUUGGGGCUGAUUCAACAAGCAGACCCUCCAGAUGAAAACCAUGAGAAGAUCCUUACGCACUCUGAACGGUAGGCACGCUGGCUUAGAGCUGAACAAAACGAAGAACACACUCUGGAACGCCAUUCACUUCAAACAGCCACCAACUUCGUUAAAAGAUCAUUCCACCAAUUAUCUUGAUU